GAAACAUGGAAUGUCACAGCACACCUCAGGGGCGCGAUGAUCAGUGCAAGUAAUCAGCACCACCUCAGCCGUGGACCUGUCAUCAAUCAGCCCUCAUCUUCACCUGCAUGAAAGCCUGCCAGAUCCCAGAAACUCUCGCCAGAGUAUUAACCUUCUCCUGUGGUACAAUGGCUCUCAGUGCUAUACGUAAACUACACCAGUCCUCGCUAUCCUUCUGACCUCCGUGUUUUUCCUUGUCCUCAGUGCUCCUUCCGUGUUCCCCGCUGAGUGACUUCUUCCAUCACGCCGCCAAGUCAUCCACCUGUUCAUGCCACUGCCUGCCGCACGUUCCCUGCCUCAAUAACCCAUCAGUACGUCUCAAGGAUCAUCUCCAUACUCUCUUUCAAUAAACUGCACCGGGGUGGCCCAAGUUUGCAAACGACACCAGUCAUCGGCCUCAUCAAAGAGGGUGACGGGUCGGCGUAUCAAUAGGAAGUGGAGCGGCUGGAGCUGUGGUGCGGCCAACACAAUCUGGAGCUGAACACGCUCAAGAAAGAUGAUCGUGGACUUCAGGAGGCAUCCAUCCAUCCAUCCAUUUUCUGAGCCGCUUCUCCUCACUAGGGUCGCGGGCAUGCUGGAGCCCAUCCCAGCUAUCAUUGGGCAGGAGGCGGGGUACACCCUGAACUGGUUUCCAGCCAAUUGCAGGGCACAUACAAACAAACAACAAUUCGCACUCA